rnacentral:rRNA from 2 species
UCCCUCAGUAACGGCGAGUGAAGAGGGACGAGCCCAGCACCGAAUCCCCUGUUCGAGAGGGCAGCGGGAACUGUGGUGUAUAGGACAGCCUCUGCGGCGUCGAUCGGUCGUCUAAGUCUCCCUGAUCGGGGCUUUACCCAUAGCGGGUGUUAGGCCUGUACGGCCGCCGGUCGCGUCGCUCUGUGCAUCCUGGGAGUCGGGUUGUUUGUGAAUGCAGCCCAAAGAGGGUGGUAAACUCCAUCUAAGGCUAAAUACCGACACGAGUCCGAUAGC